rnacentral:lncRNA from 1 species
AGAAUUAUGCAAAGGUUCUGUGUAGCUGUGUAAAUUUAUUCUUGGAUGCAUUGGUAGCCAGCAUUUCUGGUCCACUACAACCUCAUGUCACCAGAUACUUACAAUCAGAACUUUUCUAUUUCUUGGACCCAGAAGUCCUGAAGAAUUACCUAGGGAAGCCAAUGGCUAUGCUAAACCGCUCUGAGCAGACCUCUGCUGUCUCCAGUAAGAACAAAACAGACACAACAAAUGAAAAUCCACUUGAAAAGAAAUUUAUAACAAAGUCCAAAAUAGCUUCUUUUUCCCCCUGAAGGACAUAGAGAAAUCAAGCUGGAACUAAACUGGAAGCUGCCUCCUUACUGGCUAAGUGUCAUAGCACCAGAAGGUGCUAUGCAGACUGCUGGGAAAGAAAAGCCAUCAACUGUCUUAGCUGGCUAUGAAUUCUGGGAGCUAUAAUAUUGAACUAUCGAGCAAGAUGUACAUUCCUAUUAGUGUUGCUUUCUACGAGUCAAGUUUCCAUCUUCAGUUGGCAGUGGUAAUACAGCGACUCAUAACUGGUCACAGUGCAAAGAAUAAGUGUGAUAAGUACUUAGCCCUAAAGUGAACAUCAACAUACUUCCUCCAAGGUGCAAAGAAAACCACAGAAGGAGGACAGAAGAAGUAUCAAAGCCAAAGGAAGGGAAUGGAUGCUAUAAGACACUAUCUUCUGUACAUGACUCAGCUGACUCCUCUGGUGAACCCAUGCCCUCUAGGCAACUUUGGUUAUCCACACAAGAGCAGACCCAUGGAGAUUCCAUUACAGAUGGAGAAGAGCUCAUAAGGCCCCACCACUCCCUCAUGAUUCAUAGUCUAUGUUGCUAGAGAUGGGGAGCCUUCAGUGGCAUGGCCUCUGGUAGGUUUUCCUUGUGCAAGUAAACAACCCCAUAUCUAUGCAUACUCAUUUAACCAUCCAGAGUUAAAUGUCACAAAAGACAUAAAAGUAGAAGGGGAACAUCUGGAACCAAACAUGUGAACUGGGUACCAUUUGCAUGACAGCACAGCAUGUAAAGAUAAAAAUAAUAAUAAUACAAGAUGAAGUGC